rnacentral:rRNA from 1 species
CUUUCCCUCUUUCUUCCGGCCUCCCCCCUGCACGUCGAGCGGAUGAAGGGAGCUUGCUCCUGGAUUCAGCGGCGGACGGGUGAGUAAUGCCUAGGAAUCUGCCUGGUAGUGGGGGAUAACGUCCGGAAACGGGCGCUAAUACCGCAUACGUCCUGAGGGAGAAAGUGGGGGAUCUUCGGACCUCACGCUAUCAGAUGAGCCUAGGUCGGAUUAGCUAGUUGGUGGGGUAAAGGCCUACCAAGGCGACGAUCCGUAACUGGUCUGAGAGGAUGAUCAGUCACACUGGAACUGAGACACGGUCCAGACUCCUACGGGAGGCAGCAGUGGGGAGUAUUGGACAAUGGGCGAAAGCCUGAUCCAGCCAUGCCGCGUGUGUGAAGAAGGUCUUCGGAUUGUAAAGCACUUUAAGUUGGGAGGAAGGGCAGUAAGUUAAUACCUUGCUGUUUUGACGUUACCAACAGAAUAAGCACCGGCUAACUUCGUG